UCCCGGAACGGGAGCGAGGGGUGAUGCCGGCACGGGGGAGAGAUGAGGAGGGGAGAAGAAGGGAGGAAAAAGAGAGAGGGAAAAGCGGGAGAAACAGUGAAAAUAAGGAGAGGAAAAAAGAGAGGGAAAAGCGGGGGAAAGAGAGAGGUGGAAGCCAGGGAAGGAGAGAAAAAGAGAGAGCUAGAGAAAGAGAGAGGAAAAAGGGACAUAAAAAGGGGAGGAGAGAAAUAGAGAGAGGAAAAAGGAGAGAAGGAGGGAAAAAGAGAGAAAUAAGGAAAAAAGGAGAGAAGGAGAGAAAAAUAAAGAAAAAAGGAGAGGAAAAAGGAGAGAAGGAGAGAAAAAUAAGGAAAAAAGGAGAGGAAAAAGGAGAGAAGGAGAGAAAAAGAGAGAAAUAAGGAAAAAAGGAGAGGAAAAAGGGCAAAUGAGAACAAAAGCAGAAGAAAAGAGGAAAAAGAAAAAGGAGAAAAAGAGAAAUAGUGGGAAGAAAAAAGGGGAAAGGAGAGAAAAAGCAGAAGAGGAAAAAGAAACAGGAAAAAAGAAAUAGAGGGAGGAAAAAAGAAAAUAAAAGGAGGAAAAAUGAGAAAAAGGGAAAGAUG
rnacentral:lncRNA from 1 species